rnacentral:rRNA from 1 species
GAUGAACGCUGGCGGCGUGCCUAAUACAUGCAAGUCGAGCGAACAGAUGAGGAGCUUGCUCCUCUGACGUUAGCGGCGGACGGGUGAGUAACACGUGGAUAACCUACCUAUAAGACUGGGAUAACUUCGGGAAACCGGAGCUAAUACCGGAUAAUAUAUUGAACCGCAUGGUUCAAUAGUGAAAGACGGUUUUGCUGUCACUUAUAGAUGGAUCCGCGCCGCAUUAGCUAGUUGGUAAGGUAACGGCUUACCAAGGCGACGAUGCGUAGCCGACCUGAGAGGGUGAUCGGCCACACUGGAACUGAGACACGGUCCAGACUCCUACGGGAGGCAGCAGUAGGGAAUCUUCCGCAAUGGGCGAAAGCCUGACGGAGCAACGCCGCGUGAGUGAUGAAGGUCUUCGGAUCGUAAAACUCUGUUAUUAGGGAAGAACAAAUGUGUAAGUAACUAUGCACGUCUUGACGGUACCUAAUCAGAAAGCCACGGCUAACUACGUA